rnacentral:tRNA from 1 species
AAGGGAGACCUAAUUCGGGUAGAAGACGAAAAAAUAGUAGUCGAAACCAAGAAUCAAUCCCAAAAGGUCGGAACGAGGUAUGUGGCUUUCAAACUAGGUUCUGGGUUCACAAAAGACCUGAAUCAGGAACAAGGGCUAUUAGCUCAGGUGGUUAGAGCGCACCCCUGAUAAGGGUGAGGUCCCUGGUUCGAGUCCAGGAUGGCCCACCUGCACAGGUGGCAAAAACAAGAGAAACGAGGAAUCAGCACCUUAUCUUACUCAUAUAGUAAGAGAGAAUGCUGGCUCUGAGUAAAGAGUCCAGAGGAACCUUGAAAACUGCAUAGAGCUAGGUGAAAAAGCCAAAAAAGAAGACCGCAA